GACGAACGCUGGCGGCGUGCCUAAUACAUGCAAGUAGAACGCUGAAGGAAGGAGCUUGCUCUUUCUGGAUGAGUUGCGAACGGGUGAGUAACGCGUAGGUAACCUGCCUGGUAGCGGGGGAUAACUAUUGGAAACGAUAGCUAAUACCGCAUAAAAUUGAUUAUUGCAUGAUAGUCAAUUAAAAGGUGCAACUGCACCACUACCAGAUGGACCUGCGUCGUAUUAGCUAGUUGGUGGGGUAACGGCUCACCAAGGCGACGAUACAUAGCCGACCUGAGAGGGUGAUCGGCCACACUGGGACUGAGACACGGCCCAGACUCCUACGGGAGGCAGCAGUAGGGAAUCUUCGGCAAUGGACGGAAGUCCGACCGAGCAACGCCGCGUGAGUGAAGAAGGUUUUCGGAUCGUAAAGCUCUGUUGUAAGAGAAGAACGAGUGUGAGAGUGGAAAGUUCACACUGUGACGGUAUCUUACCAGAAAGGGACGGCUAACUACGUG
rnacentral:rRNA from 1 species